rnacentral:rRNA from 1 species
GGACUACUGGGGUAUCUAAUCCCGUUUGCUCCCCUGGCUUUCGUGUCUCAGCGUCAGCACAUCCCCAGCGAGCUGUUUUCACCGUUGGCGUUCCAAACGAUAUCUACGCAUUUCACCGCUCCACCGUUUGUUCCGCUCGCCCCUAGAUGGCUCAAGACGACCAGUAUACCAAGCAGUUCCACGGUUGAGCCGUGGGAUUUCACAAGGUACUUAGCCGUCCGCCUACACACGCUUUAAGCCCAGUGAUUCCGCCUAACGCUCGGCACCUCUGUCUUACCGCGGCUGCUGGCAC